GUCCACGCUGUAAACGAUGUCUACUAGCCGUUGGGCGACUUGAUCGCUUAGUGGCGCAGUUAACGCGAUAAGUAGACCGCCUGGGGAGUACGGCCGCAAGGUUAAAACUCAAAUGAAUUGACGGGGGCCCGCACAAGCGGUGGAGCAUGUGGUUUAAUUCGAUGCAACGCGAAGAACCUUACCAGGUCUUGACAUCCUAGGAAUCCUGCAGAGAUGUGGGAGUGCCUUCGGGAAUCUAGAGACAGGUGCUGCAUGGCUGUCGU
rnacentral:rRNA from 1 species